rnacentral:rRNA from 1 species
AGCGAACGCUGGCGGCAGGCUUAACACAUGCAAGUUGAGCGCCCCGCAAGGGGAGCGGCAGACGGGAGAGUAACACGUGGGAACAUACCUUUUGGUUCGGAACAACUGAGGGAAACUUCAGCUAAUACCGGAUAAGCCCUUACGGGGAAAGAUUUAUCGCCGAAAGAUUGGCCCGCGUCUGAUUAGCUAGUUGGUGAGGUAACGGCUCACCAAGGCGACGAUCAGUAGCUGGUCUGAGAGGAUGAUCAGCCUCACUGGGACUGAGACACGGCCCAGACUCCUACGGGAGGCAGCAGUGGGGAAUAUUGGACAAUGGGGGCAACCCUGAUCCAGCCAUGCCGCGUGAGUGAUGAAGGCCUUAGGGUUGUAAAGCUCUUUUGCCCGGGAAGAUAAUGACGGUACCGGGAGAAUAAGCCCCGGCUAACUUCGUG